rnacentral:rRNA from 1 species
GAUGAACGUUAGCGGCAGGCCUAAUACAUGCAAGCUGAACGGUAAGAUUUGUAGCAAUACGAGUCCUAGAGUAGCGUAAGGGUGCGUAACACGUAUGCAAUCUGCCCGCAACAGGAGGAUAGCUCUUCGAAAGAGGAAUUAAUACUUCAUAACACCACACGAGGGCAUCUGAGAGUGGUUAAACUACGGGGUUGCGGAUGAGCAUGCGCAUGAUUAGUUAGUUGGCGGGGUAACGGCCCACCAAGACGAUGAUCAUUAGGGGAACUGAGAGGUUGGUCCCCCACACUGGCACUGAGAUACGGGCCAGACUCCUACGGGAGGCAGCAGUAGGGAAUAUUGGACAAUGGGUGAGAGCCUGAUCCAGCCAUGCCGCGUGCAGGAAGAAAGCCUUCUGGGUUGUAAACUGCUUUUUUCAGGGGAUAAAAUACCGGUGCGCCGGGAAUUGCAAGUACCUGGAGAAUAAGCCACGGCUAACUACGUGCCAGCAGCCGCGGUAAUACGUAGGUGGCAAGCGUUGUCCGGAUUUAUUGGGUUUAAAGGGUGCGUAGGCGGUAAUUUAAGUCAGUGGUGAAAUACGGCAGCUCAACUGUCGAGGUGCCAUUGAUACUGGGUUACUUGAGUACUGAUGAGGUAGGCGGAAU